AUGCGUGACAUUGCUAUUCACAUGUUUAAGAAGGAAGAAUUCGCAGCAAUCCUAACAAAUCGAAGAAAUAAUUUUGAAGAAGCACAACGUCGGUUGGCCAUCCAAAACACUGCAAUUGAUAUUCCAGGAAGCAUGCCUGAAUUGAAUCCUCGGUCACUUCUUCUAUUUAACGACCAGGAAUUUCCCUCUUCCUCUUUCUGUAGAAUGUUUUCAAAAUUCAAAUUAUUGAGGAUAUUAGAUCUAGAAGGCACUAAAAUAAAGAUUUUGCCGAAUGAAGUUGGAGGGUUGAUUCACUUACGGUAUUUGAGCUUGAGGAGGACACAGAUUGAGGAACUCCCUCUUUCAUUGCAAAGACUGCACAACCUACAGACGCUGGACGUUAGAGAUUCCCACUUGAAAGGUUUACCCACUGGAAUAGAGAUGCUUACGAAAUUUAGGCAUCUUAAUUUGAUGAAAAUUUCUGAUAGUAGAGAAUUUUAUAAGAUGCCUAAGAAAACAGCCAGCUUAAGCAACCUCCAAACACUAUCAGGUGCAUCAGUUGACAGUGGCUUUUCAAGAGAGUUGGGUUACUUAACCCAACUUAAGAAAUUAUUAAUUGGAGAAGUAAAAGGGGAAGAUUGUAGACAACUAUGUGAUUCCAUUAGUCAGUUGAAAUGGUUGCGAUCUCUCAAAAUCUUGGGCCAGGGCGAAGAUGAAGAACUCAAUUUACAAGAAUUGUCACAGCCUCCACAAUACCUUGAGAAACUUAUUUUGAAAUGUGUGAUGAAAGAAUUUCCCCAAUGGAUUGGUUCACACAACUGUCUCCGGUAUAUAACCCUGAUGAAUAGCCAAUUUGUGAAAGAUCCACUCACCACCCUUGGACAGUUACCCAAUCUGGUGUACUUGACUCUCUUUAAUGCUUAUGUGGGGAAGCAGAUUUGCUGCACCUCUGGAGGAUUUCCUAAGCUCAGAACCAUGAGAAUCUCAUAUAUGGAAGAAUUGGAAGAGUGGAGUAGAAUAGAGGAGGUUACAAUGAAAUCUCUACGGUAUCUCUAUAUUGAGAGUUGUCCAAAGCUAAAGAUGCUCCCAGAUGGCUUUCAGCACCUCGCUGCCAUCCAACAACUAUAUUUAGGUGACAUGUCAGAAGAAUUCAUGAAGAAGGUAAGGAGAGGCGGAGAUGACCAUCUCAAAGUGCGUCACAUCCCUCACAUUAAUAAAGUUGGUAACGAUGGUGAUGGGAAAUACAUGUAUGAAUCACUCUGGGAUGGAGAAAAGAUCUAAUACCGUCAUCCAUGCGGGUUGUGCUGUCUUCGCAAGGAGGUACAACAAUCAACAGCUGAGGUGGUUGAUUUCAUUGUACUCUUGGAGCGGCUUCAUGGCUACCACCUUUCGCAAGGUUAGCAGGAUGCAAUGGUGCUGAGGAAGGAAAAGUC